rnacentral:tRNA from 1 species
CAGGUUGCGCUUCUGAAGUUUUCAGGAGUUUCGUUCGGGACGAAGGGGUCGCAGGUUCAAAUCCUGUCAUCCCGA